UAAGACGAACCGUGCGAACGUUGUUCGGAUUCACUGGGCUUAAAGGGCGCGUAGGCGGGUGUCCAAGUCUGGGGUGAAAUCCUCCGGCCCAACCGGAGAACAGCCUCGGAUACUGGAUGUCUCGAGGGGGGUAGGGGCACGCGGAACUUCCGGUGGAGCGGUGAAAUGCGUAGAUAUCGGAAGGAACGCCGGUGGCGAAAGCGGCGUGCUGGACCCCUUCUGACGCUGAGGCGCGAAAGCCAGGGGAGCGAACGGGAUUAGAUACCCCGGUAGUCCUGGCCCUAAACGAUGGGUACCAGGCUGUGGGCUGACAUGGGCUCACAGCCGAGGCAAAAGUGUUAAGUACCCCGCCUGGGGAGUAUGGUCGCAAGGCUG
rnacentral:rRNA from 1 species